rnacentral:miRNA from 1 species
AGCACCAUUUGAAAUCAGUGCUU